rnacentral:misc_RNA from 1 species
UCGACGGUUUGUGGAUGAACGAUGCCGACAUGGACAACGCGAUCGCGCGGCUGCUCGACAUGACCUAUCAGGACCGCGCGCGCAAUGCGUGCAUCGGCACCGAACGGGCCGAUCUCGNNNNNNNCAUUCUCGACGCCAUCCGCAAGGCGUUCCCGCUGCCGCGCCUGCGCGUCGCCGACCGCGGCCUGCGCGAAGGCAUGCUGGUGGAAAUGAUGCGGGCCG